GAUGAAUAACGUAGUAAAAUGCGAUAAGUAAUGUGAAUUGCAGAAUUCAGUGAAUCAUCGAAUCUUUGAACGCACAUUGCGCCCGCCAGUAUUCUGGCGGGCAUGCCUGUUCGAGCGUCAUUUCAACCCUCAAGCACAGCUUGGUGUUGGGACUCGCGUUAAUUCGCGUUCCUCAAAUUGAUUGGCGGUCACGUCGAGCUUCCAUAGCGUAGUAGUAAAACCCUCGUUACUGGUAAUCGUCGCGGCCACGCCGUUAAACCCCAACUUCUGAAUGUUGACCUCGGAUCAGGUAGGAAUACCCGCUGAACUUAAGCAUAUCAAUAAGCGGAGGA
rnacentral:misc_RNA from 1 species